GGUAUUGAUUGGUGCUUGCAUCAUGAUUUACAUUUGAGUGAGUGGCGAACUGGUGAGUAACACGUGGGAAACCUGCCCAGAAGCGGGGGAUAACACCUGGAAACAGAUGCUAAUACCGCAUAACAACUUGGACCGCAUGGUCCGAGUUUGAAAGAUGGCUUCGGCUAUCACUUUUGGAUGGUCCCGCGGCGUAUUAGCUAGAUGGUGGGGUAACGGCUCACCAUGGCAAUGAUACGUAGCCGACCUGAGAGGGUAAUCGGCCACAUUGGGACUGAGACACGGCCCAAACUCCUACGGGAGGCAGCAGUAGGGAAUCUUCCACAAUGGACGAAAGUCUGAUGGAGCAACGCCGCGUGAGUGAAGAAGGGUUUCGGCUCGUAAAACUCUGUUGUUAAAGAAGAACAUAUCUGAGAGUAACUGUUCAGGUAUUGACGGUAUUUAACCAGAAAGCCACGGCUAACUACGUGCCAGCAGCCGCGGUAAUACGUAGGUGGCAAGCGUUGUCCGGAUUUAUUGGGCGUAAAGCGAGCGCAGGCGGUUUUUUAAGUCUGAUGUGAAAGCCUUCGGCUCAACCGAAGAAGUGCAUCGGAAACUGGGAAACUUGAGUGCAGAAGAGGACAGUGGAACUCCAUGUGUAGCGGUGAAAUGCGUAGAUAUAUGGAAGAACACCAGUGG
rnacentral:rRNA from 1 species